CCUACGGGAGGCAGCAGUGAGGAAUAUUGGUCAAUGGGCGCUAGCCUGAACCAGCCAAGUAGCGUGAAGGAUGACUGCCCUAUGGGUUGUAAACUUCUUUUAUAUGGGAAUAAAAUGUUCCACGUGUGGGAUUUUGUAUGUACCAUAUGAAUAAGGAUCGGCUAACUCCGUGCCAGCAGCCGCGGUAAUACGGAGGAUCCGAGCGUUAUCCGGAUUUAUUGGGUUUAAAGGGAGCGUAGGUGGAUUGUUAAGUCAGUUGUGAAAGUUUGCGGCUCAAACGUAAAAUUGCAGUUGAAACUGGCAGUCUUGAGUACAGUAGAGGUGGGCGGAAUUCGUGGUGGAGCGGUGAAAUGCUUAGAUAUCACGAAGAACUCCGAUUGCGAAGGCAGCUCACUGGACUGCAACUGACACUGAGGCUCGAAAGUGUGGGUAUCAAACAGGAUUAGAUACCCUAGUAGUC
rnacentral:rRNA from 1 species